CCUACGGGAGGCAGCAGUGAGGAAUAUUGGUCAAUGGGCGAGAGCCUGAACCAGCCAAGUCGCGUGAGGGAGUACUGCCCUAUGGGUUGUAAACCUCUUUUGUCGGGGAGCAAAAGCCGGACGUGUCCGGCUGUGAGAGUACCCGAAGAAAAAGCAUCGGCUAACUCCGUGCCAGCAGCCGCGGUAAUACGGAGGAUGCGAGCGUUAUUCGGAUUUAUUGGGGUUAAAGGGUGCGCAGGCGGAUUUUUAAGUCAGCGGUCAAAUCGUGGGGCUCAACCCCAUCCAGCCGUUGAAACUGGGGAUCUAGAGUGUGCGAGAGGUAUGCGGAAUGCGUGGUGUAGCGGUGAAAUGCAUAGAUAUCACGCAGAACCCCGAUUGCGAAGGCAGCAUACCGGUGCACAACUGACGCUCAGGCACGAAAGCGUGGGUAUCGAACAGGAUUAGAUACCCUGGUAGUC
rnacentral:rRNA from 1 species